GUUUGCUAAAAAACCAGCCAGAUGGUCUCGCCUACAGAAACUACCACUCUCUUUGGUGUCUGGUGGCAGUAUAUCUUUUAGAAGACACAGAUAAGUCUUUUGUUUCUACAAAAACAACAUCAUCUGGUUAUGGUGAGAAAUAUAGACAUAUUGUGCUCAUAUCAGUAGAAUAUAUGCACGAGAUGUUGAAAAUGGCCAGAAUCACACUUCUUGCUUUUGGCCAUACUAACGCACUUAGUGGUGUAAUCAGGCCGCAUUUGUGGGCUAUGCUUGUGUGUUUGAUUCUACUACGUCCAUUCCAAAAUAUAAGACGUUAUGGAAUGAGGUAGCAAUUAGGUAGGGGAUUAUUUACUGGUUGCAGUUAGAUUUUAGUGUUGUGUUUUUAUAAAAGAUGAUUUUGACUUACGGUUGCGCGUCUAGAUUAGAUAUAUGCAUCCGCUUUUGGGAACUAACGCAAUGCUAAAUGUGACAUUGAAAAUUGAGGAUGUUAACCAUUAUAUCUCCUUCCUUAUUUGUAGAAUGUAAUUGUGUCGGAUAAUUGGAUUGUCAACUAUCGAUUCCUUAGUUUGUGUCAAGAAACCGUCUGUUAAAACUUAAAACAGCAGGCAGUCUAAGCUAUGAAAACUAUUGCUUGCUCUAGUGGUAGUAUCUUUUAGAAGACACAUAUAAGUCUUUGGCAUCCUCAAAGACAACAUCAUCUUGUUAUGGUGAGAGCUGGCACUUAGUUGCAUAAUCAGAACCCAUUUGUGGUUGUUGUGUUUGUGUGCUGGAGUAUAUCGCCUUGACUUCACAUCUGAAUGGCAAUAGCAUAUCUCUCACUUUAUGUUGCAUCUGGUUUUCUACAGUCUGCUAUUUUCUGCAAAUUUUGUAUUGUGUUGACUUGUGACCCCUUUUGGUUAUCUUGAUGUUUGGAUUUCUUUAUGAUUUGGCACUUUUGCUGGUGAUAUGACUUUGAUGUUGUGUCUUUUGCAACCCGGUGCAGAAGCCCGUGAACUCGGCCGUGUGGGACUCCUGGGGUGCGAUGGUGUUGGCGGUGGUAUACGGUCUUGUCUACAACUGUGCUGGACAGUUUCUACGAGAUGCAAGCAUGAUUGUGCUUGUCGCCCAGGACCAGGACGCCGACCUAUGGUGUGCACCAGGAAGUGAACUCGUGCGGCUCGAGGAUAGAUUGUUGUGAUGAUCUAUCUGAGUAGUCUAGAAAAAUCCCAAUUUUGAGUGAAGAGUGGAUCCUCUUUGCUGCAAUCUUCAAUACUAGUUUCGAGGUUGCCUAACCAUGGUUCGAGGCUGAAGAAGCAAAUAGAUGAUCUGGAUGAGAAGAUGGCGGUGACUGACUCUUCUCCCGAGUCUUUGAUGUCCAAGUAGAUCCAGGAUGGUGAGGACGGCGAGAAGAAAAGAUCUUUGCUGGAGAUGGUGCACCGACACCCAUCGGGCUAUUCUUCCGGAGGGC